AGCAGCUGCCUUCAGCUCCAAACACGUCUCGGUUGGUUGCUCCUGUUUUCUUGUCAGGGGAGUGGUUCAGCUAAGGGAAAGGUUCAAGAGCUGUAGGGUGAUUCCUGACCUGAAGGGAAGCAGAGCUGGAGAAGUGUUCUUGUCUAAACUGGCACACAGAUCUGCCUUUGUGAUGGCCACUCCCAGAGCAAUCAGCCUGGAGGAAAUUCAUGUCCGAACUGAUGAAGAUCAGUUUUAUUCUCAGCUUCUCAUUGGAAAUAUGGAAGUUUUUCUCCUAUCUGCAUUUUUCUCAGGGUGUUCCCAAUUAAAGAUCUGUGGUUAAUUCUGGCUGCUUUGGUGUCAGCUCUUCUAUGUCAUCAGCACAUAUCCCCUUACUUC